AUUGAACGCUGGCGGCAUGCCUUACACAUGCAAGUCGAACGGUAACGCGGGGCAACCUGGCGACGAGUGGCGAACGGGUGAGUAAUACAUCGGAACGUGCCCAGUAGUGGGGGAUAGCCCGGCGAAAGCCGGAUUAAUACCGCAUACGACCUACGGGUGAAAGCGGGGGACCGCAAGGCCUCGCGCUAUUGGAGCGGCCGAUGUCAGAUUAGGUUGUUGGUGGGGUAAAGGCCUACCAAGCCUACGAUCUGUAGCUGGUCUGAGAGGACGACCAGCCACACUGGGACUGAGACACGGCCCAGACUCCUACGGGAGGCAGCAGUGGGGAAUUUUGGACAAUGGGCGCAAGCCUGAUCCAGCCAUGCCGCGUGCGGGAAGAAGGCCUUCGGGUUGUAAACCGCUUUUGUCAGGGAAGAAACGGUCCGCGCUAAUACCGCGGGCUAAUGACGGUACCUGAAGAAUAAGCACCGGCUAACUACGUGCCAGCAGCCGCGGUAAUA
rnacentral:rRNA from 1 species